UUGAUAUUUAAGUACAUUCAGAAUGGCAAAGAUUUUGUUUCUCUUGCUUUUGGCCAAUAUUUUAGCACUAUGCUAUAUGCAACUGAUUACCCCAAUGAUGGCGUGUGGAAUGAAGUGCCUUCAGGAUAAAAACGCUACAAGAGUUCUGUACGACAGUGAAGAGGCCAAGGAAUGCAGGGAAUACUGUCUGCAUCAUGCCUACGAUUUCUUACACCAACUUGGGUAAAAUUGCAGAGACGAUGUUCGAAUCGAC